rnacentral:rRNA from 1 species
UACGUAGGGGGCUAGCGUUGUCCGGAAUCAUUGGGCGUAAAGCGCGCGUAGGCGGUCAGGUAAGUCCGGUGUGAAAGUCAAAGGCUCAACCUUUGAAUGUCAGCGGAUACUGCCAGGCUAGAGUCCGGAAGAGGCGAGUGGAACUCCUGGUGUAGCGGUGGAAUGCGCAGAUAUCAGGAAGAACACCAACGGCGAAGGCAGCUCGCUGGGACGGAACUGACGCUGAGGCGCGAAAGCGUGGGGAGCGAACAGG